rnacentral:rRNA from 1 species
GACGAACGCUGUUCGGCGUGCUUAACACAUGCAAGUCGAACGGAAAGGCCCUGCUUUUGUGGGGUGCUCGAGUAGCGAACGGGUGAGUAACACGUGAGUAACCUGCCCUUGACUUUGGGAUAACUUCAGGAAACUGGGGCUAAUACCGGAUAGGAGCUCCUGCUGCAUGGUGGGGGUUGGAAAGUUUCGGCGGUUGGGGAUGGACUCGCGGCUUAUCAGCUUGUUGGUGGGGUAGUGGCUUACCAAGGCUUUGACGGGUAGCCGGCCUGAGAGGGUGACCGGCCACAUUGGGACUGAGAUACGGCCCAGACUCCUACGGGAGGCAGCAGUGGGGAAUAUUGCACAAUGGGCGGAAGCCUGAUGCAGCAACGCCGCGUGCGGGAUGACGGCCUUCGGGUUGUAAACCGCUUUCGCCUGUGACGAAGCGUGAGUGACGGUAAUGGGUAAAGAAGCACCGGCUAACUACGUGCCAGCAGCCGCGGUGAUACGUAGGGUGCGAGCGUUGUCCGGAUUUAUUGGGCGUAAAGGGCUCGUAGGUGGUUGAUCGCGUCGGAAGUGUAAUCUUGGGGCUUAACCCUGAGCGUGCUUUCGAUACGGGUUGACUUGAGGAAGGUAGGGGAGAAUGGAAUUCCUGGUGGAGCGGUGGAAUGCGCAGAUAUCAGGAGGAACACCAGUGGCGAAGGCGGUUCUCUGGGCCUUUCCUGACGCUGAGGAGCGAAAGCGUGGGGAGCGAACAGGCUUAGAUACCCUGGUAGUCCACGCUGUAAACGGUGGGUACUAGGUGUGGGGUCCAUUCCACGGGUUCCGUGCCGUAGCUAACGCUUUAAGUACCCCGCCUGGGGAGUACGGCCACAAGGCUAAAACUCAAAGGAAUUGACGGGGCCCCGCACAAGCGGCGGAGCAUGCGGAUUAAUUCGAUGCAACGCGUAGAACCUUACCUGGGUUUGACAUGGAUCGGGAGUGCUCAGAGAUGGGUGUGCCUCUUUUGGGGUCGGUUCACAGGUGGUGCAUGCCUGUCGUCAGCUCGUGUCGUGAGAUGUUGGGUUAAGUCCCGCAACGAGCGCAACCCUUGUUCACUGUUGCCAGCACGUUAUGGUGGGGACUCAGUGGAGACCGCCGGGGUCAACUCGGAGGAAGGUGGGGAUGACGUCAAGUCCUCAUGCCCCUUAUGUCCAGGGCUUCACGCAUGCUACAAUGGCUGGUACAGAGAGUGGCGAGCCUGUGAGGGUGAGCGAAUCUCGGAAAGCCGGUCUCAGUUCGGAUUGGGGUCUGCAACUCGACCUCAUGAAGUCGGAGUCGCUAGUAAUCGAAGAUCAGCAACGCUGCGGUGAACACGUUCCCGGGGCC